rnacentral:rRNA from 1 species
AUUGAACGCUGGCGGCAUGCUUUACACAUGCAAGUCGAACGGUAACAUGAAGAAGCUUGCUUCUUUGAUGACGAGUGGCGAACGGGUGAGUAAUGUAUCGGAACGUGCCCAGUAGUGGGGGAUAACUACUCGAAAGAGUGGCUAAUACCGCAUGAGGUCUCUGGAUGAAAGUGGGGGACCGCAAGGCCUCACGCUACUGGAGCGGCCGAUAUCAGAUUAGGUAGUUGGUGGGGUAAAGGCCCACCAAGCCUGCGAUCUGUAGCUGGUCUGAGAGGACGACCAGCCACACUGGGACUGAGACACGGCCCAGACUCCGACGGGAGGCAGCAGUGGGGAAUUUUGGACAAUGGGCGCAAGCCUGAUCCAGUAAUGCCGCGUGCAGGACGAAGGCCUUCGGGUUGUAAACUGCUUUUGUACAGAACGAAAAGGCUCUGGUUAAUACCCGGGGCUCAUGACGGUACUGUAAGAAUAAGCACCGGCUAACUACGUGCCAGCCGCCGCCGUAACAC